UACGUAGGGUGCAAGCGUUGUCCGGAAUUAUUGGGCGUAAAGAGCUCGUAGGUGGCCUGUCGCGUCGGCUGUGAAAACUCGGGGCUCAACUCCGAGCUUGCAGUCGAUACGGGCAGGCUAGAGUUCGGCAGGGGAGACUGGAAUUCCUGGUGUAGCGGUGAAUGCGCAGAUAUCAGGAGGAACACCGGUGGCGAAGGCGGGUCUCUGGGCCGAUACUGACACUGAGGAGCGAAGCGUGGGAGCGAACAGG
rnacentral:rRNA from 1 species